AUCAACGCUGGCGGCGUGCCUAAUGCAUGCAGGUCGAACGGGGUGCCCUUCGGGGCGCUCACGUGGCGGACGGGUGAGGAACACGUGGCCAAUCUGCCCACCGGCAGGGGGUAGCCCGCGGAAACGCGGGGUAAUUCCGUAUGUCCUGGCUCCCCGCGUGGGGGGAAUCAGCAAAGGUCCUUCGGGACCGCCGGUGGAGGAGGCUGCGGCCGAUUAGCUAGCUGGUGGGGUCACGGCCUACCAGGGCGAUGAUCGGUAGCUGGUCUGAGAGGAUGAUCAGCCACACGGGGACUGAGACACGGCCCCGACUCCUACGGGAGGCAGCAGCAAGGAAUUUUCCGCAAUGGGCGCAAGCCUGACGGAGCAACGCCGCGUGCGGGAUGACGCAUUUCGGUGUGUAAACCGCUGUUCGGGGGGACGAAGCACUGACGGUACCCCCGGAGGAAGGCCCGGCUAACUACGU
rnacentral:rRNA from 1 species